rnacentral:piRNA from 1 species
UCAAGAGUACAAGAGACUUUAGAAUCUGAA